GAUUCGCUGCUGGUUCCGGCGGACACGGGCUUGGUGAUUUCCGGGGAGCACACACCUGCCUGCCACCCUCUGCAGUGUUUUCCUGCAGUGUUUUCCAGGGGAUUACGAGGACGCCUGAGAGACAGCCGUGUGUGUAGUUAAUUCCGUUAAAUCAAUCCACCUCUUCAGAGGUGAAGGAAAGCCUUGCCUACUACGGAUUUAAGGCUUUCAUAAGUCAGGUCAGGCUCGCUGAUUUACAGCCAGCCUUGCGGGUUGUAGGGGUGAGCCCGAUCACUGAUCAGCUUGUUUGGGGUGGCGGCGCCCUGAGCACCAGAGAGCCGUGCUUCACCCUGCCCUUCUGCCCUGUCACCGGGCAAGGUGACAAAGCCCUCCCGUGCCACUGCUUCAUGCCAGCUCAGCGCCCGAGACAAGCUGUGGCAGUGCCUGGGCAAGGAAGGCUGAGGAAAAGGCAACAAAGCUGAACCUUUUUCUUACGGCUGGAGCAGUCACCUACCACCUCCGUGCCCAGGUGUGGCCCCACAGCGCGUGUUGGGAGCGGCUGUCCUGCGUUCAGGAUGGCCACGGCAGCGGGCAGGCCCCGUGUGCCCUGCCACGGCCGGCAGUGACCUGCAGGAGCUGCCCUCAGGCUCACCCGCACUGCGCUGCAGCCCUGGCCUUUCAUCCUCUGGGUCUCACCCCAGCUCCUUCUUCACAAAGCCACAGUUCCCACUGGAGGUAAAAUCAGGGGCUGAAAAGAACUGAACUUUGGCUUGGUAUGGGAAAUCCUGAGUAAGUUGUUUGUUUUCUUGUGAAGACAAAACAAACCUUUGUUUUCAUUAAUCUGUAUGCAACUUCAGUAGUCUUCUCUACUGAAGUGCAAGCUCAAUAUAUACUUACUGAUAGAUACAGUUUUUCUUUCAUUCUUGGACCUUUCCAGAUCAAAUCAUUCUCAGAGCUCUUCUCUGAGGCCAUUCCAAAUUUUUCAGUAUCUUUUUGGAGGCACUAAUUUCAGAAUUGGACACAGCAUUCAGCAGUGAUCUCACCAUUGAUGCACAGAAAACAAGAAAUCACCAAAUGAAGCCCUCCCCCCAUCAUCUCCUGAGUAAUAUCUCAUUCUUAGUACAGUGGAGAGGGGCUGCCUUGUCUUAGGACAAUUAUACUGUCUGUCAAUGUAGCAAUUUCUAGUCAGAAAAAAAACCAAAAAAACAAAACAAACCAAGGUUGUCAGCAUAAUGCUAGACCUGUUUAGUUCCAGAAGAGGGCCCUUAACUUGUAAAACUUUACUUACAGUCUUAGCAAACAAAGUCUGUAUAGUUUUUCAGACAUAGAUCUGCAAAUACUGCCCUCUACCUAAUUUCAGGUUUUUAUCCCUGGCUUACAGUAUUACAUCUUGCAGGGAUGCCCAAUCUUCUUGAAUAGCUUCUUAAUUCUUUUCUCCUCUGAAGUGUUAGCAACUACCAGAGGCUGCCCUCAGUCUGAUUCAGUCUAUUUUUUUUUUUAAUUUUUGCAAGUUAAACCACAGUGUAGAUUUGAGAUGAACACCUUGCAGAAAACCCUUUUUGACCAUUUCUUUGACCAACCAAGACAGUGAUGUUCUCAAGAAGUUACGUAUUGUUUUGAUGGCCAGGUUAAAUUUUCAUAGCUAAUCUAAGACUACGGUGAACUUGUGGAGUGUAUGAAUCUUGUAACUUUUAUCUUCCUUUUUUAGUGUGCAGUGCCUGGACCUGUGUGAUGAAGCUUGGCAGGCAGUGUAACUCUUGUUGGGACUAACACAGUUGGGUCGUUUCUCAGAACUGAUUUAGAGCCUCUAUACCUCAACCUAUUCAAAGUGGAACAGAUGAAAUCCAAACACAAUGGCAGGGAUCUCUAGCUGAAGCAGCAGCUAAAGUGGACGUGGUGAUGCUUUUCUCUGGAAGAUGAGUCUGCUGGUUUUAUCCUUCCCUCUGAAGGUGCACCCCUAUACUCAUUGAAAAGAAGAAUAAUUGUGGAAAUGUACCUUAAAAAGGUGUAUAAAAUUAGCCACUCAGUUCUUGUAUUUGAAGGUGCUGUGUCUCACUACAAUCCUGUGGAAGGAUUUUGUUUCUAUGUGGUGUUUGUUGCACUGGGUGAGAUUUUUGCCUCUUGGCAAGAAUGAGAAAUAAACUUUUUUCUCCUUUAACCACUUGACUCAAAAUUCAUAUACAUGAACAAGUUUGAAAAGAAGCCCAUGAAAAUUAUGAGUAAUUUGAAGUGCUAUUUCUUUUAUUAAAACAAUUAAGUUUUUUUCCCAGAAGACAUUACCAAACAAUUUGAAUCUUUAAUAUGAGAAAAUCAGGAAAAGUUCAACAACAUGCACUACAGUUGGCCACAGUUUCAGUCAAGAUGGUUAAAUCCCCAAAUCUCUGUCCUCUCCUUCCAUUUAUGCAUCCAACUAUUGUAGCAUGAGGAUUGUCAGUGCUGUCUCUGAGCAGAUCAUCCUCCAUUCCAGUGCCUGGAAUGAUUUUGUGGAAGAUUAGGUUUAUGUAAUAGUUUUUUAUUUGCUCAGCUCUAUCAAAUGCUCAUGUGAAAAGCAUACCCUGAACUCUGAUAAUUAUCUUCCUUCAUCUCCCUAAGCUACAAGUAGUUCAGCUUUUCUUUGAGGCAUUAUCUAUGGAAGAUUUCAGAGAAGAUAAAAGGGCUCUCUAAAGGCUGAAAAUGUGAAAAUAACUGUACAGUUAUGUUGAACUGAAUAGCAAAAUAAAUAAUAUAUGGCUUUUAUAUUUUUAAGUGUAUUUCAGUUAAAUAAAAAACCCCAGGACUUCCAGUUUGCAGUGGUAUCUUGAAAUUUCUGUUCCUCACUCUAAGUGUACACAAAGCUGUACCUAUGCCCACUGUGGGACAUUUCACACACAUUCUGUGAGUAGUGCAAACACUGAGUUAUUUAAGAACAAAGUAUUUGUAGCUGUGUACAGAGGAAAUGCACGUACUUGGGAAACAGAUCCAUUUACAUUGCUAACGCUUCACAUACUUGAGUAUUUCCCACAUUUUCUGCCGUAUGUUUUAUUAAACCAGGAACUUUUGAACCUUUGUCCCUGUAGGGAAUUUAAUUUAAUCAAGGCUCAUUCACAGGAGCGACAGAUACUAUAUCUU